rnacentral:rRNA from 1 species
UCGCCUGUUUAUCAAAAACAUGUCUUUACGGGCUUAAUGUAAAGUCUGGCCUGCCCAAUGGCGUGAAGCUAAAUGGCCGCGGUAUUUUGACUGUGCGAAGGUAGCAUAAUAAUUAGUCUUUUAAUUGAAGGCUGGAAUGAAGGGUCGAACAAAAAGUUAUCUGUCUCUGAAUUAAAUCUUGAAUUUAACAUUUAAGUGAAAAGGCUUAAAUGCUUUAGGGGGACGAUAAGACCCUAUGAAUCUUUAUUUUUGGCUUAUAAAAUAAAAAAAUAAUAUCAAUUUUUGUUUUAUCGGUUUCAAUAUUUUGUUGGGGCGACGGAAGCGUAAAUUGUAACCGCUUUAUAUUAAUAGUUAACGAUAUUUAGUUAAGUGAUCCUUUAUAGAGAUAUUAGUAUAAGUUACUCUAGGGAUAACAGCGUAAUUUUCUUUGAGAGUUCAUAUCGAAAAGAAAGGUUGCGACCUCGAUGUUGAAUUAAAGAUCCUUUACGGCGCAGAAGUUGUAAAAGGAGGUCUGUUCGACCUUUAAAUCUUUACAUGAUUUGAGUUCAGACCGGCGUAAGCCAGGUUGGGUUUCUAUCUA